GGCGCUAUGGCUUAGUUGGUUAAAGCGCCUGUCUAGUAAACAGGGAGAUCCCUGAGUUCGAAUCUCAGUGGUGCCU